rnacentral:lncRNA from 1 species
UAACAUUAAAACAACAAAUAAAUAUAUUAUAAAAUAACAAAACCAACAAUGUUUCACUCAUCGCACAAAUAUAGUUUUCAAUAUAGUUUCUAUGUGCGCUUAUACCAUUGUUGAUACUAUAAUAACCAAUCAUUUAAGCCGACGAAAUCAUAAUUAUAUAAGUAGACAAGGUUUCAAACAUUUCCAAUACAUUCAAUAACAAGUUAGGGCAAGCCCCUCAGGGCACAGCCCUGUAGUGCAAAAGACAUGAGUGAGAUUAUCUCACGCCUUGUUGAAGUGUUGGAUUCGAUUCCUAAUACAUGGAAUUAGACUCCUUGUAGGCGCAGUGUACAGACAACUCUUGUUUCCUGACCCGUUAAGGCACAUCCCUCGAUUUACCUCCCUCACAAAGCUCUAAGGACGGGACAGUGGAGGCCCUCAAAGUUGGGAUUCAACCUUUUAAUAACAAGUUAGGGCAAGUCAUUCAUUGCUUACCUGAAAAGUAGAAUUUUGACAAAAAUUAUGAAAUCACACUUUUGAGAAUU